GUACUCACUCACGUUGCAGCACAUACACUAAAACUGUAAUGAUACAGAGACGAUUAGAAGCCCUUGCACUAGGGUGACAUGCAAAUUCAUGAAAGAAAUUAUAUUCAA
ensembl:snRNA U6 U6 spliceosomal RNA